CUAUUUUCUUUGAACAGCAACCAAAAAUCCCAGCUGAGUUUCUGCAAAAUGCAGCAGCCAAGUCCCCUUCCUUUCCUUCUUUUCUUCUUGCUACAGCCCAGCCGAGACCUCUUCUUUUCUUCCUUUCUUUCUUGCUGUGAUACUCCCCAACCGAGCUUUAUUCUUCUUCUCCUUCAAGCUACGGUUGUAGCUUUCAUGGCAGCCCUUUUAUCUCUUCAAAAACCUGCAACACAACCACACAAAUACAACCCGAAAAUAGCAACAACAAAGAUCUAAAUGAUCUUUGUUGGUUAUAGAAAAGAAAACCCGAAAACACUACAGAAAAAUAAAGGAAGAACACAACAAAAUUUGAUUUCGGAGUUCCCCUUGAAAUCAAGAGUACAUCUCCGUCAAGCUUCCCUCAAAGACGCUUGAUUCUUCACUAUCAAAGUCCAAACCGAUUACAAGGAUGAGAGAUUCCUAGCCACAAAGUUCAGUAGGUUGGUUACACAAGGAAAAACAAAGGUUGCAUUCCUUUUUUCACUGCUGGCCGAAAUGGUCUCUUGUUCAAAUGAGAAGGUUGAACCUCAUAUUUAUAAUAUUGUUUGUUGCUGGCUGUGUUGUGUUUGAGCUGAGAAAUAGAUAUAUUCUGUUGUGAUAUUUUCCUUGUAAAGCUGAAAGUUUGUUAGAGUCUUGAGAUAUUUUGUUUGCUUCUUUAUAUUGUAAAGA